GAUGAACGCUGGCGGCGUGCCUAAUACAUGCAAGUCGAGCGAACAGACGAGGAGCUUGCUCCUCUGACGUUAGCGGCGGACGGGUGAGUAACACGUGGAUAACCUACCUAUAAGACUGGGAUAACUUCGGGAAACCGGAGCUAAUACCGGAUAACAUGUUGAACCGCAUGGUUCAACAGUGAAAGACGGUCUUGCUGUCACUUAUAGUUGGAUCCGCGCCGCAUUAGCUAGUUGGUAAGGUAACGGCUUACCAAGGCAACGAUGCGUAGCCGACCUGAGAGGGUGAUCGGCCACACUGGAACUGAGACACGGUCCAGACUCCUACGGGAGGCAGCAGUAGGGAAUCUUCCGCAAUGGGCGAAAGCCUGACGGAGCAACGCCGCGUGAGUGAAGAAGGUCUUCGGAUCGUAAAACUCUGUUAUUAGGGAAGAACAAAUGUGUAAGUAACUAUGCACGUCUUGACGGUACCUAAUCAGAAAGCCACGGCUAACUACGUG
rnacentral:rRNA from 1 species